rnacentral:rRNA from 1 species
CCCUUAGAUGUUCUGGGCUGCACGCGUGUUACAAUCGGGAGUACAACAAGAUUGCAAAUCCUAGCGGAUGAGUGGUUCUUCGAAAUUUUCUGAAGACUGGGAUAGUUGAUUGAAAUUAUUCAACUCAAACGAGGAAUUCCUUGUAAUUGUAAUUCAUUAUAUUGUAAUGAAUACGUCCCUGCCCUUUGUACACACCGCCCGUCGCUCCUACCGAUUGAACGAUCCGGUGAAUUAUUUGGAGUAGCUCUGGAAGUUGCAGAACUUCCUAUGUCACGAAAUUUUGUAAACCUUAUCGUUUAGAGGAAGGAAAAGUCGUAACA